rnacentral:rRNA from 1 species
UACAGAGGGUGCGAGCGUUAUCCGGAUUCACUGGGUUUAAAGGGUGCGUAGGUGGAUUAGUAAGUCAGUGGUGAAAUCUUUGGGCUUAACCCGAAAACUGCCAUUGAUACUAUUAGUCUUGAAUACCGUGGAGGUCAGCGGAAUAUGUCAUGUAGCGGUGAAAUGCUUAGAUAUGACAUAGAACACCAAUUGCGAAGGCAGCUGGCUACACGAAUAUUGACACUCAGGCACGAAAGCGUGGGGAUCAAACAGG